rnacentral:rRNA from 1 species
AUACGGAGGGGGUUAGCGUUGUUCGGAAUUACUGGGCGUAAAGCGUACGUAGGCGGACUGGAAAGUUGGGGGUGAAAUCCCGGGGCUCAACCCCGGAACUGCCUCCAAAACUUCCAAUCUAGAGAUCGAGAGAGGUGAGUGGAAUUCCAAGUGUAGAGGUGAAAUUCGUAGAUAUUUGGAGGAACACCAGUGGCGAAGGCGGCUGACUGGCUCGAUACUGACGCUGAGGUACGAAAGCGUGGGGAGCAAACAGGAUUAGAUACCCUAGUAGUCC